GACGAACGCUGGCGGCGUGGAUUAGGCAUGCAAGUCGAACGGUAGGAUACCUUCGGGUAUCUGAGAGUGGCGAACGGGUGAGUAACACGUAGGUGAUCUACCCUCAAGAUUGGGACAACCCAGGGAAACUUGGGCUAAUACCGGAUGAAAGCAGCAGUGAUGUUGUUUGAAAGGUGGCGUAAGCUGCCGUUUGGGGAUGAGCCUGCGCUCUAUUAGUUAGUUGGCGGGGUAAAGGCCCACCAAGGCGAUGAUAGAUAGGCGGCCUUAACGGGCGGUCGCCCACACUGGGAUUGAGAUACGGCCCAGACUCCUACGGGAGGCAGCAGUCGAGAAUAGUCUACAAUGGCCGAAAGGCUGAUAGUGCGACGCCGCGUGAACGAAGAAGCCCUUCGGGGUGUAAAGUUCUUUUAUAUGUGAGCAGUGCUUUCUAUGUGAACAGCAUGGGGAGAGAGAUAUUAGCAUAUGAAUAAGCAACGGCUAACUCCGUG
rnacentral:rRNA from 1 species